rnacentral:rRNA from 1 species
GAGUAACACGUGACUAACCUACCUUCGAGUGGGGAAUAACUUCGGGAAACCGAGGCUAAUACCGCAUAACAUCUUUUGGUUGAGAUACCGAUUGAUCAAACCAGUAAUGGGCUUGAAGAGGGGGUCGCGGCUGAUUAGCUAGUUGGUGGGGUAACGGCCCACCAAGGCGAUGAUCAGUAGCCGGCCUGAGAGGGCGCACGGCCACACUGGAACUGAAACACGGUCCAGACUCCUACGGGAGGCAGCAGUGGGGAAUUUUGCGCAAUGGGGGAAACCCUGACGCAGCAACGCCGCGUGGAGGAUGAAGUCCCUUGGGACGUAAACUCCUUUCGAUCGGGACGAUUAUGACGGUACCGGAAGAAGAAGCCCCGGCUAACUUCGUGCCAGCAGCCGCGGUAAUACGAGGGGGGCAAGCGUUGUUCGGAAUUAUUGGGCGUAAAGGGCGCGUAGGCGGUGCGGUAAGUCUGAUGUGAAAUCUCCGGGCUCAACUCGGAGUCUGCAUCAGAAACUGCCGUGCUUGAGUGUGGGAGAGGUGCGUGGAAUUCCCGGUGUAGCGGUGAAAUGC